rnacentral:tRNA from 1 species
GAGUACGUAGCUUAAUUGGUAGAGCACCGGGUCGUGACCCCGGCAGGCGCGGGUUCGAAUCCCGUCGUACUCC